GAUAUGGAGUGCAGCGCAUUGCCUAACAGUUGUUUCUUUGUAUUUUUUAAAUGAAAAUGAAGAAUGGAUAUGAUCUGUAACAAUGGAUAGGACACUUGUCCUCCUCCAAGCAUCAGUGACCUCCAGGACCAGUGGCCUUUCCUUUUCACCAGGUUAUGUAUGGCUCUGCAACAACUUUCAUACCCUCACUGGCAUCGUGAUUGACAGUCGCAUGACUCAAGCUCUCCUGAACAAGGAUCACUGCAACUCGGGUUGCCAGACACACCAAGGCUGAUCGUGUUUGGAAAUACUCUAUUGGGUUCUUCAAAAUGAAUGGUGUCGAUCGAGGGGAGAGUGGUCUGUGUUUUGGACCAACUUUGCUGCUGCCCUCUCUGUGCUCUUCAGCACGUUCUAUGUUUUUAAUAUCGAAUACCAGGAGUCAGCCUCUACAACCAUGGCGCUGAUCCAGAGGAUCCUGGUUCAAAUAAACCCUGAAAGAACCAACUGCACAGCGAAAGCAGGAGUGAGCCGCAAGACCGGAAAGGUCGUUCAGAGGAAGCCAUUGCCAAUUAACCCACAUGUUCCACACUUUCCGGCAAACCGGAAGGAAUUCGAGUGGAAAAACUUCAACAUUUGACGUAUCAGAGCUAAGGAGGAUCAGUUUCAAAGAUUGGGGUGAUAAUCUGCACCCCACCGAGAUUUAUUUGAGACAUGUUUGCAUCUCCCAUUCUCUCAGCAAAUGAUCUGCUUGCGCCAUCCGGGAGCCUGUGUUGGCUUGCGGUAGCGUGCUUCUCUGGCUCCAGUCCAGCCCUGCUCGCUCCUCUCCAUCCAUCCUUCUCUCUCAGCCCCUUUCUCUCUCGUUCCUCUCUCAAAGACAGGCAGGCAAGCAGUUAUUGUUAUAGUUUUUUGUAAACAUUUCUCCCUGUUCAACUGUUUUCCUAUUUUUCAUUGAUCUGUUUAGAUGUUCUUUUUUUCUUACAUAAUCCAGUAUUUUCAAGAAUGACCAAUUCUGAUGUCUUGGUUUAUGUAUGGUGAAGUACAUUAUUGGCCAGUAUUUGUCAAUGUUCUUAUCACUGUAUCUCUCUCUGUCUCUCUUUCUCUUCCCUACUAU